rnacentral:rRNA from 1 species
GAUGAACGCUGGCGGCGUGCCUAAUACAUGCAAGUCGAGCGAAGCGGGGACGGGUGAGUAACACGUGGAUAACCUCCUAUAAGACUGGGAUAACUUCGGGAAACAGGAGCUAAACCGGAUACUUAUACAUGUAUCCGCGCUGCAUUAGCUAGUUGUUAAGGUAACGGCGUACCAAGGCAACGAUGCAUAGCCGACCUGAGAGGGUGAGCAGCCACACUGGAACUGAGACACGGUCCAGACUCCUACGGGAGGCAGCUGGAGGGAAUCUUCCGGAAUGGGCGAAAGCCUGACGGAGCCAAGCCGAGUGAGUGAUGAAGGUCUUCGGAUCGUAAAACUCUGUUAUUAGGGAAGCGGUACCUAAUCAGAAAGCCACGGCUAACUACGUGCCAGCAGCCGCGGUAAUUC